GAAUAUUGGACAAUGGGGGAAACCCUGAUCCGGCGACGCCGCGUGGGUGAAGAAGGCCUGCGGGUUGUAAAGCCCUUUCAGUGGGGAAGAAAAGCCUCGAGUUAACACCUCGGGGUCUUGACGUAACCCAUAGAAGAAGCACCGGCUCACUCUGUGCCAGCAGCCGCGGUAAUACAGAGGGUGCGAGCGUUAAUCGGAAUUACUGGGCGUAAAGCGCGCGUAGGCGGCUUUGCAAGUCGGGUGUGAAAUCCCCAGGCUUAACCUGGGAACUGCAUUCGAGACUGCAUUGCUAGAGUAUGGGAGGGGGAAGUGGAAUUUCCGGUGUAGCGGUGAAAUGCGUAGAUAUCGGAAGGAACAUCAGUGGCGAAAGCGACUUCCUGGACCAAUACUGACGCUCAUGUGCGAAAGCGUGGGGAGCAAACAGG
rnacentral:rRNA from 1 species